GAAAUUUGGAGCGUGUGUUUAUAAAAAAUAGACGAAUCUACGAAAAAUAUCAAAAAAAUAUUUUACAUGAAAAAAAUGAUGAAAAUACCCCUGAAAAGUUCUGGGGGUAUUUUGGUUAAUAUUUUUUACGAAUUAUUAUUUUUAUAUUUUUAUUAGGUGCGCCUUACUUAGAUGUAUAUAUGCUCCAAAUUUCAAGUCAUUAUGACUUGUAGAAAAAAAAUAAAAAUAAAAAUGAACGCUAUUAGACAAUCGUGACCGUGUGAUGAACUUUAGACGGUGAUAUGGGUAGGCGAAAUUACUGUUCAUUUUCACCUGUAGACGUUGGGAAGAUUUUUCCAUAUAUAUAUAUUACAAAAAAAGGGCAAUUUUUUUUAAUCGGUGAGAUGAGUUAAAGUUGGUCGAUCUGACCAGCCAAAACUGGUUGAGAUAAUGAAGAUUGAAUUCUUUUUAUUUCUAUUUGUUGUAUCUUUGUUUUAACGCCAAUCGUUUCCUAUUACAAUUAGAAUGCAAGUCACAAUAUUGGAGUUAUAAGAUCGUAGGUUUUAGUCCUAUCAGUACCCACCAGAAUACCUGAACCUGAUAAGCUGGAUCUAUUCAUCUCCAAUUGAUUGCUCUUUGCUCUAACAAUCAUGAAUUAUAGAAAAUGAUCCAGAUAUUCUCAAUCAGUCUGUUUACUUAAGAAAAACAGGUUACUAAUGUGCUACGGGGACCCAGUCUCUUGUCUAACCCCCACUAUUGAGUAUUGACAACACUUUAA
rnacentral:lncRNA from 1 species